AGAGAGAGCGUAAGCCGGGAAUGGAAAGACCGGUACAAGCGAGGUAGGAGAAGAGUUGGCAAAUCCGCUCUUUAAUCUGAAGACGUGAUGUGGACUGAAAAUAAGUAGGGAAGCACGUGAGCUGACUGUCAAGAAAAGCCGCUAUUGUUUGCAGGAUACCCGUACCGUAAACCGACACAGGUGGAUGAGGAGAGAAUCCUAAGGCCGACGGGAGAAGCAUUGUUAGGGAACUCGGCAAAAUGACUCCGUAACUUCGGGAGAAGGAGUGCCAGUAAGAUGGCCGCAGAGAAUUGGCCCAAGCAACUGUUUAGCAAAAACACAGGUCUAUGCAAAACCGAAAGGUGAGGUAUAUGGGCUGACGCCUGCCUGUGCUGGAAGGUUAAGGGGAGAGGUUAGCGCAAGCGAAGCUUUGAACUUAAGCCCCAGUAAACGGCGGCCGUAACAAUAACGGUCCUAAGGUAGCGAAAUUCCUUGUCGGGUAAGUUCCGACCCGCACGAAAGGCGUAAUGAUUUGGGCACUGUCUCAACAAUGCACCCGGUGAAAUUGAAAUACCAGUGAAGAUGCUGGUUACCUGCGCCAGGACGGAAAGACCCCAUGGAGCUUUACUCCAGCUUGAUACUGGAUUCGGUAUUGCAUGUACAGGAUAGGUGGGAGGCUAGGAAAUGGUAACGCCAGUUGCCAUGGAGCCAAUGUUGGGAUACCACCCUUGCAGUACUGGGUUUCUAACCAGCAGCCGUGAUCCGGCUGGGGGACAAUGUCAGGUGGGGAGUUUGACUGGGGCGGUCGCCUCCGAAAGGGUAUCGGAGGCGCUCAAAGGUUCCCUCAGAAUGGUUGGAAACCAUUCGAAGAGUGCAAAGGCAGAAGGGAGCUUGACUGCGACACCGACGGGUGGAGCAGGUACGAAAGUAGGACUUAGUGAUCCGGUGGUAUAAAGUGGGAUUGCCAUCGCUCAACGGAUAAAAGCUACCCUAGGAUAACAGGCUUAUCACUCCCAAGAGUUCACAUCGACGGAGUGGUUUGGCACCUCGAUGUCGGCUCAUCGCAUCCUGGGGCUGAAGUAGGUCCCAAGGGUUGGGCUGUUCGCCCAUUAAAGCGGUACGCGAGCUGGGUUCAGAACGUCGUGAGACAGUUCGGUCCCUAUCCGGCGUGGGCGUAAGAUAUUUGAGAGGAGCUGUCCUUAGUACGAGAGGACCGGGAUGGACUGGCCGCUGGUGUAUCUGUUGUCUUACCAAAGGCAUAGCAGAGUAGCCAAGCCGGGAAGGGAUAAACGCUGAAGGCAUCUAAGCGUGAAGCCCCCCUCAAGAUGAGAUAUCUCAUAACGUCAAGUUAGUAAGACCCCUUGAAGACGACGAGGUAGAUAGGGCAGAGGUGGAAGUGUGGUAACACAUGGAGCUGACUGUUACUAAUAGGUCGAGGGCAUAACCAA
rnacentral:rRNA from 1 species